rnacentral:rRNA from 1 species
UACGUAGGCAGCGAGCGUUGUUCGGAGUUACUGGGCGUAAAGGGUGUGUAGGCGGUUGUUUAAGUUUGGUGUGAAAUCUCCCGGCUCAACUGGGAGGGUGCGCCGAAUACUGAAUGACUUGGAGUGCGGGAGAGGAAAGUGGAAUUCCUGGUGUAGCGGUGAAAUGCGUAGAUAUCGGGAAGAACACCCGUGGCGAAGGCGGCUCUCUGGGACGGUACUGACGCUGAGACGCGAAAGCGUGGGGAGCGAACAGG